UACGUAGGGGGCAAGCGUUGUCCGGAUUUAUUGGGCGUAAAGAGCGUGUAGGCGGUUCGGUAGGUCCGUUGUGAAAACUCGAGGCUCAACCUCGAGACGCCGAUGGAAACCAUCGAACUAGAGUCCGGAAGAGGAGAGUGGAAUUCCUGGUGUAGCGGUGAAAUGCGCAGAUAUCAGGAAGAACACCCGUGGCUAAGGCGGCUCUCUAGUACGGUACUGACGCUGAGACGCGAAAGCGUGAGGAGCGAACAGG
rnacentral:rRNA from 1 species